UGUACCCUACGGGGCGCAGCAGUGGGGAAUAUUGCACAAUGGGGGAAACCCUGAUGCAGCGACGCCGCGUGAGUGAAGAAGUAUUUCGGUACGUAAAGCUCUAUCAGCAGGGAAGAAAAACCGGCCUUAGGGCCGCCAGACGGUACCUGACCAAGAAGCCCCGGCUAACUACGUGCCAGCAGCCGCGGUAAUACGUAGGGGGCAAGCGUUAUCCGGAUUUACUGGGUGUAAAGGGAGCGUAGACGGCAGCGCAAGUCUGUAGUGAAAUGCCGGGGCCCAACCCCGGCACUGCUUUGGA
rnacentral:rRNA from 1 species